rnacentral:rRNA from 1 species
UAAAAAUUUAAUUAUAAAUAUUUAAGUAGUAUUAGUUAAGAUCUUGAAAUUUAAAAAAUUUGGCGGUAUUUUAGUCUAUUCAGAGGAACCUGUUUUUUAAUCGAUAGUCCACGAUGUAUCUUACUUAAAUUUGUUUUAAUAGUUUAUAUAUCGUCGUUUAUAGAAUAUUUUAUAAAAACAAUAAUUUUCUUAAUUUUUUAUUUAAAAUUAUAUCAGAUCAAUAUGUAGCUUAUGUUUAAGGUUAUAAUGGGUUACAAUUUUUUUAUUAAUGGAUAUAGGUUUGUAAUUUAUUUAUUGAAAUUGGAUUUGAUAGUAAAUUUAUAUAGAUAAAUAAUUUGAUUAUAGCACUAAAAUAUG